UGGGGAAUAUUGCACAAUGGGCGCAAGCCUGAUGCAGCCAUGCCGCGUGUGUGCAGAAGGCCUUCGGGUUGUAAAGCACUUUCAGCGGGGAGGAAGGCGUUAAGGUUAAUAACCUUGGCGAUUGACGUUACCCGCAGAAGAAGCACCGGCUAACUCCGUGCCAGCAGCCGCGGUAAUACGGAGGGUGCAAGCGUUAAUCGGAAUUACUGGGCGUAAAGCGCACGCAGGCGGUCUGUCAAGUCGGAUGUGAAAUCCCCGGGCUCAACCUGGGAACUGCAUUCGAAACUGGCAGGCUAGAGUCUUGUAGAGGGGGGUAGAAUUCCAGGUGUAGCGGUGAAAUGCGUAGAGAUCUGGAGGAAUACCGGUGGCGAAGGCGGCCCCCUGGACAAAGACUGACGCUCAGGUGCGAAAGCGUGGGGAGCAAACAGG
rnacentral:rRNA from 1 species